UCCGCAGCCCCUGGGUCUGUGCAGUGACCAGCCAGUCCCUGAGAACUUUCCCCUCCAGCACCAGGGAACAUGAGGCUUUGGCUCUAUGUAGUGUCCCUUGCAGUGGCUUUGGAAGGUGUCCGGUCCCAGGUGCAGCUGGUGGAGUCCGGAGGGGAUGUGAAAAAGCCCGGAGACUCUCUCCGCCUCUCCUGCAAAGCCUCCGGCUUCACCUUCAGCAGCUACGCUAUGAGCUGGGUCCGGCAGGCUCCCGGGAAAGGGCUGGAGUGGAUCUCACGCAUUUACACUGAUGGGAGCCAACAGUUUUAUGCAGACUCAGUGAAAGGCCGAUUCACCAUCUCCAGGGAUGAUCCCAAGAGUGAGCUGUAUCUGCAACUGACCGGCCUGAAGCCCGAGGACACCGCCCGCUAUUACUGUGCGGGAGACACAGUGACACGAAACCGGUUUGUGACCCUACAAAAACCCAGGCUGCGGAACCGCCCUUCUCCCGGCAGCCGCGCGGGGGCAGCAGUGACACACACCCCGCUCCGGGCUCACACAGGAGACCCGGCAAUACAGUAA